rnacentral:rRNA from 1 species
GACGAACGCUGGCGGCGUGCCUAAUACAUGCAAGUCGAACGCUUCUUUCCUCCGAGGUGCUUCCACCCAAUGGGAAGGGGAGGUGGGGGACGGGGGAGAACCCCGUGGGUAACUUCCCCAUCGGAGGGGGAUAAAACUUGAAAACAGUUCCUAAUACGGCAUACGGGUUAAUGCCGCAGGGCUUAGGAGUUAAAGCGAUUUUGGGAGGCGAUGGCGGAUUGGACCGGCGGGGAGUUAACUGGUUGGGGGGGCAACGGCUCACCAAGGCCACGAUGCAUUGCCGACCUGAGGGGGGGAUCGGCCACACUGGGACUGAGACACGGCCCAGACUCCUACGGGAGGCAGCAGUAGGGAAUCUUCGGCAAUGGACGAAAGUCUGACCGAGCAACGCCGCGUGAGUGAAGAAGGUUUUCGGAUCGUAAAACUCUGUUGUUAGAGAAGAACAAGGACGUUAGUAACUGAACGUCCCCUGACGGUAUCUAACCAGAAAGCCACGGCUAACUACGU